ACCUGGUGAGGCUUCACAAUGUCCUUAUAUGAUCUGACCCCUAGUCCGUGAUUUUGCGACUUACUGAUUCUAGCGUCGGACACCACCGCACUUAGUGGUGUCAGCCCUGUAAAGGGACAUAGGAGAGAGGUACCCAGCCUCCUUCCUGUGCAGAUGAAGAAGCUGAAGCUCUUCCAGUAGAAGACGUGCAUUUGAAGGUCACAGACCUCAAGCGCUCGCCCUGCCCCAGCGCCUCCCAGAGCCAAUGCCAUGAAGCUGACAGAAUGUCUACUUUACUUGGGGCCACA
rnacentral:lncRNA from 12 species